rnacentral:rRNA from 1 species
AUGUGUAGUAAGGGAAGGAAUAAACGGUCCCAAGCCUAUGUAACUCUAUGGCAACACCCAGCAGAUGAAGAGGGUCCACAUGAGGCCAUUCCAGCUUCAUUCUAUUCCCUUACCUCAUUUCCUUCUCUAGAGGAAGACUCGAUGCAUGCAUUUGCUCUUGUAUGUGUAUGUAUGUCUAUACUUAGAGUCUCAGACUCACAAGGCUGCAACACAUCUGCAACGCCACCCAACUGCGUCAGUUCAUUGACCUUUGGUUGCUUCUCAGAAAUAUCCAGCUUUCAGAUGUGGCCGACAAAAUUUCUUGGAAGUGGACUUGUGACUUGA